AAGGGCCGGGCAAGACCGGUGCCAGCCGCCGCGGUAAUACCGGCGGCUCGAGUGGUGGCCACUAUUACUGGGCUUAAAGCGUCCGUAGCUGGUCUGUUAAGUCUCUGGGGAAAUCUUCCGGCUCAACCGGAAGGCGUCUCAGGGAUACUGGCAGACUAGGGACCGGGAGAGGUGAGAGGUACUCCAGGGGUAGGAGUGAAAUCCUGUAAUCCUUGGGGGACCACCUGUGGCGAAGGCGUCUCACCAGAACGGCUCCGACAGUGAGGGACGAAAGCUGGGGGAGCAAACCGGAUUAGAUACCCGGGUAGUCCCAGCCGUAAACGAUGCGCGUUAGGUGUAUCGGUGACCACGAGUCACCGAGGUGCCGAAGAGAAAUCGUGAAACGCGCCGCCUGGGAAGUACGGUCGCAAGGCUGAAACUUAA
rnacentral:rRNA from 1 species